rnacentral:lncRNA from 1 species
GACAUCCUCUUCAGCUAUGGAUGUCAGUCAUAAGGGUCUGAGGCACAGAGCUGCAGGAGUUUAAAAUAGCUGGCCCCAUUGCACAUUAUUUCUAGACCCAUUUAAUUCCUGGCAAGAAUAGCACUGACCCAGAUUUCUAAAUAAUGGGCUCCCAAGGGAAGUGUUGAUCAGUCUUUCCACAUGUACCCAUAACAUUCAUGGAUAAACCUGCUAGAACAGUGAAAAAGCAAAUGUCUGUGUUAGAGAGAUCCUGAAUGACUCUGACACCAGUAGGGAAGUUUCUGCAUGACCUAUGGUUGUGUCCCAAGUGGUCCAGAACAUCACUGGUGCUUCAAGCUGCUCCUGUGGUUUCUCUGCAAGUGUUUACCAAGAAACUGCAUUUUGAGAUGGAAAACCAAGUCCCCUUGGUCCCACACUCACCAGUUGUUAACUGUGGUCUGUGUGGCUGGUCCAAAAUAAAACAAUGUCUCCCCCAGUUCAGAUGGAAAUUAAUCUGAGAAAAACUGAAAGACUCUACUAUCCUUUGCAGAAAUUUUAAAUAAGUGAUUUAUCAGCAUUUUAUUUUCAGAUUUGAAAGACCUAAUAAGAACAAAAUUGAUCAUCAUGGGCAAAAAGUCCUUCAUAACAAUGUUUAAUCCAUUAACCAUAAAAUUUCUCUCACACCCCCUCUGUAAGAAAAAUCAAUAUAUCAUAUAAAGAAAUAAAGAAAUGCCAAAUGUCUGCA